rnacentral:tRNA from 1 species
CAAAACGUAACUUAAUUAAAGUACCUCGCUUACACCGAGAAUAUGUCUGUUCAACCCAGAUCGUUUUGA